CCUUGCUCCCUGAGACCGCCCUUCAGGCCCCACGGCUUGCUUUUUCCAGGGCUCUAGAAAUGCAGAAAUAUAGGAAAGCCUCUGCAGGGCCGGCCGCUGACGCAGCUUCCCCGGUGCCCUAGCCAAGGUUAUUUAGCAGCGAAUUUCCCCAGGCAUGACACGACUGACACAGGCACCCUUUCUGACCGGGCUGUUCACAUCAGUCCCUGCCAAAAUACUUGCAAUGCUGGAGAGCGGUGCUGCUGAGAUAGGGAACGGUUUCUGAAAGAAAGACUUAGCGUUCUGAGAUUCAAGCGCAUACGGGCAGCUAUACCACGGGCCGAGGGAAGAGAUUACUUAUCUCGGUGAUCAUCUGAUGUGAGGCCACCUUAUCUCUACAGAUUACCCCUGAUUCUUAAAUUCCAUCUAUGAGGAACCCCCAGGGGCCACGCUACUGCUGGGAAGGUGUUUUACACUUACAAAGGAAGCUAAGGGCCCGGAAGGCGAAUCACACAUCGACUCCAGUUCAGCCUCUGCCGAUCCAGAAAAUCUUUUUUCAUUUGGAAAAUAUCAAAACAGAAUGCCCCUUUAUUUAAAAGAAGCGACCCCAAAUGCAACAAGGGGUUUUAAUCUGAAACGGUUUCUUAAUUGCUGGAAAGGCAAGCACGUAUAAGUAAUUUGUUAAACUUAUUGGAUUGCAAUAAUCCACUAUCAGGUUAGCUAAGAAUGGAUCUGUCAAGUGUGUUUCCCAGUCUAAACUCUUUCGUUCAAAUCAAUCUGGUUUAAUAAUUAGCAGACAAAGAACCCGAAAUAUGUAAGCAAAUACCUAAAGUUCUGCAUAAAUAAGCAUACUAAUCAAUAGCAAGCUA